rnacentral:lncRNA from 1 species
AGAUAUGCAAUAAAAAAGAAAUGGUCAUUUACAUGUUUAGAAAACAAAACUUAAGAAAGGGAGAUGAUUCUCCGAUACUUUCGUUACAUGUGCAGUUACUUCUUCAUGAAAAAAAAGACCGAAUAGAAAAUUUAAAAAUAUCAAACUUAACCAAUUUCAAAAUCGAGAUGAUUCAAAAUGAAAAUGACCAUUUUUCAAAACAAAUAAAAACAAAUCGAACAGAAAGGA